rnacentral:rRNA from 1 species
GACGAACGCUGGCGGCGUGCUUAACACAUGCAAGUCGAGCGAUGAAGUUUCCUUCGGGAAACGGAUUAGCGGCGGACGGGUGAGUAACACGUGGGUAACCUGCCUCAUAGAGUGGAAUAGCCUUCCGAAAGGAAGAUUAAUACCGCAUAACGUUGAAAGAUGGCAUCAUCAUUCAACCAAAGGAGCAAUCCGCUAUGAGAUGGACCCGCGGCGCAUUAGCUAGUUGGUGGGUAACGGCCUACCAAGGCGACGAUGCGUAGCCGACCUGAGAGGUGAUCGGCCACAUUGGGACUGAGACACGGCCCAGACUCCUACGGGAGGCCAG